rnacentral:pre_miRNA from 13 species
GACCGCACGGGAUAAUCGAUUAUCCCGUGCGGUCGGGUUAUACGGACCGCACGGGGAUAAUCGAUUAUCCCGUGCGGUG